CUCCAAAGCCACCAUAACGUACC
rnacentral:siRNA from 1 species